rnacentral:rRNA from 1 species
UAAUACGGGGGGUGCGAGCGUUGUCCGGAAUCACUGGGCGUAAAGGGCGCGUAGGUGGUUUGAUAAGGGUGUGGUGAAAGUCCGGGGCUCAACCCCGGAUCUGCCGUGCCGACUGUCAAACUCGAGGACUGUAGAGGCAGACGGAAUUCCGGGUGUAGCGGUGGAAUGCGUAGAGAUCCGGAGGAAGACCGGUGGCGAAGGCGGUCUGCUGGGCAGUUUCUGACACUGAGGCGCGACAGCGUGGGGAGCAAACAGGAUUAGAUACCCUGGUAGUCCACGCCCUAAACUAUGUCAACUGGUUGUCGGGGAAGCAAUUCCUUGGUAACGAAGCUAACGCGUGAAGUUGACCGCCUGGGGAGUACGGCCGCAAGGUUA